rnacentral:tRNA from 1 species
GCCGGAGUGGUGGAAUUGGCAUACACGCAGAGCUUAAGCCUCUGUGCCUUCGGGAUUGUGGGUUCGAAUCCCACCUCCGGUACCA